CCUGAAAGCUUAUUGUCUGUUCCAUCAUCUCUCCCAGCUCUUCUUCAGAACUGCUCAGAAAUCACAGGAGAAAAGAAUUAAAGAAUAAUAGAAAGAAAGAGAAGGAAAAGGAUGACAGGAAGGAUGACAGGGGUCCAUUAAGCAAAUGGCAGAUGACGAACAUUCAUCAGAAAGUAAAUACAGCAGAGGAAGUGAUGACUAGCCCCUGGCAAGACCCACCACCUAAUGAGUCAAUAACUGAAUGGAGCAGAGAAUAAGGCUAUAUCCACAAGCCAAAGGAAGGAGCAAGAUGAGGCCAUGAAGAGGGUCCAGGACACAAGAUAGGAAAACACCUGGAGCAUAGAGAACCAAAUCAAUACUAAAAUGAAAGAGUCUCAGGGAUUCUGCCUGGGAGGUAGCUAGAUCAGUUUAGAGCUAGAUCUGCUCAAAGAAUGUUCUGUAAAAGUUAUCAAAUA